CACGUAGGCACCAAGCGUUGUCCGGAUUUAUUGGGCGUAAAGAGCUCGUAGGCGGUUCAGUAAGUCAGGUGUGAAAUCUUUGGGCUUAACCCAAAGCGUGCAUUUGAUACUGCUGUGACUUGAGUUCGGUAGGGGAGUGGGGAAUUCCUAGUGUAGCGGUGAAAUGCGCAGAUAUCAGGAGGAACACCGGUGGCGAAGGCGGUUCUCUGGGCAUGUUCUGACGCUGAGGAGCGAAAGUGUGGGGAGCGAACAGG
rnacentral:rRNA from 1 species